rnacentral:lncRNA from 1 species
CAUGAAGACCAUCCCAGAGCGUGAAGCUGAGCUGGAAACUUCCAAACUCGCUCUGAAAGAGCUAUCUGAUGCGGCCCAGCCGAUAGCGGAUAUGGUUGAGGGUGUAGAGCCCCAUCCGCUGUCUGAAGUACUCAAGGACGUGCCAGUGAAAUUCAUCGGCUAUAUUCAGAAGAUGGUGAAGUCUGCCUCAAGCAACUAAUAAGUUUUGUCAAAUGCUUCUAUCCUAAAGCUGAUCUGAC